UGGGGAAUCUUGCACAAUGGGGGAAACCCUGAUGCAGCGACGCCGCGUGAGCGAUGAAGGUUUUCGAAUCGUAAAGCUCUGUCCUAUGGGAAGAUAAUGACGGUACCAUAGGAGGAAGCCCCGGCUAACUACGUGCCAGCAGCCGCGGUAAUACGUAGGGGGCGAGCGUUGUCCGGAAUUACUGGGCGUAAAGGGUUCGCAGGCGGCAUGACAAGUCCGAUGUAAAAGGCGAAAGCUCGACUUUCGUAAGCAUCGGAAACUGUCAAGCUUGAGUGAAGGAGAGGCAAGUGGAAUUCCUAGUGUAGCGGUGGAAUGCGUAGAUAUUAGGAGGAAUACCGGUGGCGAAGGCGACUUGCUGGACUUCAACUGACGCUGAGGAACGAAAGCGUGGGUAGCAAACAGG
rnacentral:rRNA from 1 species